GCCGAUCCGGAGCGUCACGACAUCAGCAAAUUGCACACAGUCGCGAAACGCAUCGUUACUAAUUUGAACGGAAGUAAAAAGGAUAAAGAGGUCGCUUGUAUGGUUUGUAUGGAACUGAAUUCAAUAACUGAUUAUAAAUUUUCAGAAAGUCCGGCAAGCUGUUGAAAUGGUGGGAGCGGCCAAAACUUGGAAAAAUCUAUGUCUUGAUCGCCAAUUAUUCAAGCAAGUCAUUGUACACGAACAUUGAUCUUUUGAUACUCAACUUCUCUUUCGGACUUUUAAAUGGACUUCUUUUGAACUUUUUUGAACUCCUUUUUAUUUAUUAUGUUUCUUUCAAAUGAAUAAAGCUGUGUAAUAUGAGAUUUGAGAAUAUUCGAUCCCGAAAAACACUGAAAAAAAAGAGAACAGUAGCCAUUUUUCAUAUCCAAUGAGGAUAGGGCUGUUACGGAGACGUCUCUUUUCUCAAAUUUUCUCAAAAGAGAAGAACUUCUUCUCACGUUUUCCACUGUUUUACCGUUUUUAGAAAUGUAAAACCGUUAAAACUGUGGAAAACGUGAGAAGAAGUUCAUUCUCUUUUGAGAAAAUUUGAGAAAAGAGACGUCUCCGUAACAGCCCUAAGUAAGGGAGUUCUGAGAAUUGGCAUUGAUUCUUCACUGUAACAGUAUUUGGAAAAUUUAACCUGCACACCGAAUCUGUCAAAAAUUAAAGUGGAUAUUGCCCAUACGCAAAACUAUGCGAAUAUGUAUCUUGUAAGAACCAAUUUAAAAAAAAGUAUUGCAUUCCGGAGCUUUUGCUGAUUAGAACAUAAAUCAUAUUGUUUUCAAAGUUGAAUUUUUUAAAGUGCUGAUUUUUUCCAGUUUCAAGCUGCUAAGCUUUUUUUAAAAAUUCCCCCUAUUCCUACAUUGACACUUUGAAAUUUUUGAAAACCCUAGAUCUGGAACAUGUUUUGUUCUCGAAACGUCGUGCCAAAAAUUGUUUAUAGCCGUCAACCAUCACACAUUACUCGCAGUCGCUAUCACAGAAAAAUCACGCGAAAUCGUCAUCAAACCAUUCCCGAUUUUCGGUCAUCAAUAUGUAGUCUACAGCAUUUUAAAAAGUCUUUGGUUUUCCAAUAUCAUGAUAUCUGUUGAUAAACAUUCUAUCCGUUAUGUCUCGACAAGUAUAAAUAGGAAGAGAUGUAGAACGUUGUUGUCAGCUGGUAGCCUACAAAAAUGAAUUCGCAAACCUACUUUUGGAUAUUUAUUUCAAUCUGUUCAAUAUUACUUUUGCAAUCAAUUAAAGCAAAGUAAGUUUUUUCAAAAUAUAAACAAAUUUGUUCCUAGAACUGUGUAUGGAAAACGUUUUGAGUACUUCUUCAGAAGAUAUGGAGACUCUAGUUACAUUUUACCUUUAAAAUUGUUAUGCAGUUUUAAAAUCUAAAACACUUUCAGUAUAAAUGUUCGUGAAAAACGCCAAUGGGGAUUCGGAUAUCCGUUAUUUGGAGGGCUCGGAAACUCCUGGGAGGUGCCAAGUAAUCUUCCAACUUAUUGGGGAUACAAUGCAAUGGCUGGACGUUAAAUAAAUAUAUAGAUCUACUUUUAUUCUAAAGCAAUAAUAAUUUUUUCACAUACCAAAUUUUUAACUACUUAAAAACACUACAUGAUCUCAGGGAAUUUGGCAGUUAGACAAAAUUUAACUCAUAAAACUCGCAUUGAUAUUUUUAUAAAAUAUAUUUAUAAAUAUAUAUAUACAUAUAAUUCAAACCUUCAAGUUUCCUGAAACGAUACCUUAUAUUAGCUUUUGUCGACAACUGAAAUAGUAGUUCUGACGCAAAGAUCUUACGCAAAGAAAUCACAUGGGACAGAGUAAUCGGAUUUAAAACAUUUUAUUCACAGUAUUCUAGGAUACACAUUUCUAACAGGAGAAACUAUUUAAUUUUUACCAAAAUCCGCUAUUAUAGCUACUGUAUCCACCAGAACUAUAACUCGAAUAUGAUCCCCAUGAGCUGCUUCCAUAGUUUCCGCCAUAUCGUCCGCCAUACCCUCCUCCGUAUCCGCCUCCAUAUCCGCCACCGUAACCUCCACCAUAUCCACCGUAGCCGCCGUAGGGAUAUCCACCUCCCCAUCCACCAUAUCGUUUUUCGCGAUGUCUAAAAUAUAUAAUUAUUGUUACCUCGAAAAAUUAAUGGCCAAGUUUUUUGUUUUUUUAGUUUUAUGAGAAUAACUUUGAAUCUUGCCAAAACACGUGGUGUCAGAGUGUCCCAUGUCGGUUUGAUCUACGUAGAUCUUCGAAAAAAGCGGGAUUUGAGACGCAGAGUUUUCAACUGAUUUUGCAUAGUUAAGAACGCGCUCACGUCACUUUUUUGGGCGAAUAAAUCUCGUAUUUUUGUAGAUCAAACCGUGAUGGGACAGCCUAACACCACGUACCCAAAACGAUCACCAUGAUCAUCGAAUUCAAAUUCUUUGUAGCUGUUUUUUUAGGAAAUAUAUUUACAAGACUGGUUGACUUUCUGAUUCUGUCACCAAUUCCUAGCGAGACCCAAAGUUUAAGGGCGGAGUUUUAUUUUCUUUUCGUAGAGCGUGUUUGCACCUCAAUUUUAAAUGCACAUUUUAAUGCACACUAAAUAUUUUUCAGUGAUGUCCCCAUAAUAAUUGCUAGUUUCAGACUAGUAUUUAAAAAAGCUGAUAUGAAAAAUAUUCGACCGCUCACCCUUCAGGAGCCUUCCAUCCCAAAUUCCUCGGAUGCUUCAGACUUUGUGAAGCUGUCUCCAAAUCUGCAGAAGCCUCUGUGAAGUUUGAUAGAAUAAUUGUGGCAAGACAGAAUACAAGAAGAGAUUGCAUUUCUGAACUUUCAAAAUUUUAUUUUUACUCUGCUUUUUAUAUGAGACCGGCAUAUUAUUUUCAUCCAAUUCUGUCCUAUUCCUCUUCCUCGUACAGUUAGGCUUACUGAAAAACACAUUCGGCAAACUAAAUUAAAAUUUCCGAACUUCACCUUGAUUUUUUAUAUUUUUUAUUGUAAUCACUAGAGCCCUGUUUACAAUAUUUCCAAAAUCAUUGACCCAUUGACUCAUCAUAAGUGCAUUUCGACCAGAACAUAACGACGGCAAAAAACCUGAUUUGAUGCAGUGGUUUGACGAAUCAUUGUCUCUUUUACGUUUUCAGCAAAUUUGGUGAAUACUACGGGAAUGGGAAGUAAAACAUAAUAUCAAAAAUAUGGUGGGGGAAGAAAAAAUGAUAUAAAAAGAAAAGAAAAAGUGAUCCAGACAAUCAGUCUUUCCUGUUUUUAAAUUUGAUUAUCAUGCAUUCAACUACUCUAUUCUUCGUUGUUUUUGGUAUCUUGGUGGCUGUAUCGUUGGCGUUUGAUGACUUGAAUCAUCCGAAGAACUUACAAUGGAGAUCUUCAGAAGGGUGAGUUAUUUGGAGAAAAAUUUAUGAAUUAAUUUCCAAUUAAAUUUCAGAAGCCGUGUUAAACGAUGGGGUGGCUGGGGAGGCGGAUACCCAGGAGGUUACGGAGGUGGUUAUCCAGGUGGAUACAGUGGCUAUGGUGGUGGAUAUCCUGGAAUGUAUGGUGGUGGAAUGGGUGGAAGCUAUGGGAGCAGCUCAUGGGGAAGCUACUCGAGCUCAAGAUCUGGAGGAUUUAGCAGUUUUAAUAAUGGAUACUAUGGACGAUAAGUCGGUUCUCAAUUCUGAUCUCACUGUUUUAAAUAUGAAAUUUCGUUUGUAUAAAUUCGUUGAUUAAAAAAAGUAUCAAUUCAUGCAUUACAAAUAACAGAUCAAUUUACAAGAUGGCUUAAAACAUUGAAAUUCCUAUUACCAAAUCGAAUAGUUCGACGACGAGGAGCUGGGCUUUUUUGGCACACUUGGUGGCGAGAAGAGACUGAAAUGCCAAAUUAAUACUAUUUGAUAGGAAAUUUCGGAAUUACUCGUAAUUAAAUGGAGAAUAGUCGGGAUUUGAUUUAGACGGCGAUAAGGCUUCUUGGUGAUUUCUUUUUCUCGACGUUCUUGGCACACUUGAAUCGGUGUCGAAUGAAACUAGUCUGUUCUUUUGUCGUUCAUCAUCUGAUUUUGUCGUAUAGUCUCCGAACGAAGGAAGCAUACUUUUCUGAUGUUUUUUAGAUUCAUCCGCGUUUUUGGGCAAAUAUGAUGUUUCAAACUGAAUUAAUAAAACUUGAAAUUCCAUUUCAAAAAUUUAAUUCAACUUACAAAGUCUUCCUGGCUGUCCAGAUUCAGAGGAUCCUCAUUGUGGAAGUUGGCUUCAUCAAAUCUAGGCUUUGAUGCACUUGCUUUGAUGGGAGCUUGUUUUUCCUCCGAGCCAAUUUCCAAAUAGUACGGGUCGCGUGCUUCUUCUAUUUCCUGCUCGUACUCUUCGAAAUCACUGAAUAUAUGUACUAUUAUUGAGCUCUUUCUGAAUAGAAGUUACCUCGACACAAUAUCAUGUGAAUAGAAAGGAUCUUGUGGUAGAUAGUCUAUUUUAUCAUUGAAUUCUUCACGAUACAACAACCAAUCAGACCUCUCGAUUAAAUAAUCGAAAACUGGAUUCUUCUGAUACUCUUCAGAUUUCUGAAAAAAAAUACACACUAUUUCCGUUAAUGUCUCAGUGAGCACUGAAUCCAACCGUCUUUGCUAGAGCAACUGCGACAAGAGCCUUUUCAACUGUUCCUAUCGUGGUCCCGGUGUGAUUUUGAAGUGGGAUCGGACGAAUUGAAUCGAUUCGGCGUAGACGUGAAGAAAAUCGAUUUAUACUUUGGUCCAGCGUGGGAGAAACUUUUAAUCUUUCUAUUCUCAUAGGCUUCAUAUUGCUUUCUGCAUCUUGGGAUCCCCACUUUUUCAGCCACGGAAGAACAUGCUUCACUGAACGACCCACAGUCGAAGCUCCAAUGGUUUCUUUUUUCGUUGUCUUAGUUUUCCCUUGUUGUUCUUCUUCUUCUUCAGAAUUUAAUCUCUUCAUUGGAGGUAGUUGAUUUCGAGUUUGUUGAUCUUUCUUCACUCCAAUAUCGCUAAAAUCCCAAGUUUUUGAAAUAUUGCUGCGUGGAAAAUUUGAAAAUUUUCUUAUCGGAGUUGGGGAUGCUGAACGCCCUCUUGAUGUACUCAGAUUAUCGUCCGAAUUCUGGAAUACGCUGUGGUUGGUUAACUUUAAUUUUCACUUUAACAAUAACCUGAAAUGAAACAUUUGCAGAAGAUGGGAGGGAACUUUUGGCAUUGGCGAACAUUCCAGCUUGAACAUAGUGUCUCCGAUGUCUCUGCAAACAACACAUCACUGUUUUAUUGCACAAUUCCAAUGAUAAAUUUUUUUGAACACGUGUUCUUUUCUUAUUUAAAAAAAAUGGAAUGGGAAAAAUUCAUUACUUUUUAAAACUCACAUCCUGUUCGCUCGAUCUUUAUGUUCCGACUAACAUACUAACUACUAAUGUUGUAAGUUUGAUAAAUAAUUUGAAGAUGUUACCUGGGGGAAUCCAUUGACAUCUACAGCUACAGGGCGAUUACCUGAACAAUUUGUUGUUAGAAGUUGGCUUUUUGGAAAAGAGCUUACUUGGAACUAUUCUCUUGAAGCUUGAGAUUGUUGGAUUUUUGUAAAAUCUUCCUUUUCGAAAUUUAAUUACUUCUCGCUGUGGAUGCAUUAUAAAUUUAAAGAAAAAAGUUCAACAAUAAUGAUUAUUUAUUAUAAUAAAAAACAAUAAAUGUUCCAAACUGAACAUUUUUCAAAAACUACUGUAAUCGUGGCGAGACCCCAAAUUAACUGCGAAAGUAUGCGCCUUUAAAACCGUAUGGGAGAGAAACCGCGAUAUUUUUCUUUUUCACUCGCAUUGAUUUCAUUUUUCGAGAUUUGACGAUUUUCUGGCUUUACGCAUGCUUUUUCAGAAUUUAUAAGAAUUAAUAACCGCUAGAUUAUGUCACUAACAAACGUUUUUUAAUAUAAAUUACACAUUAUUCACUUAAAUUGUGUGUUUUUAUGUCGAAAAACUGCCGUUUUAGGGAAGCAUAAUUUCCGGUUGCUCUCGGUUCUCCAGAUCUUAAUCUCAUCAUACAAGUAAUGCAAAUUCGCCCCAGCGGUGUUCUUUUUCGACCACAACUGGCGGCAAUUUCGAACGUGCAUGCCAUUUUGACUAAACGUUGAUUAUUUAUUUUUCCUACGGCUCUUACAAAGCUUGAAUUUCCUCGAAAGAAUUUUAAUCUAGUUUUCAGCUCAAUUUUCGUUUGAAAAAUAUAAUUGUUUUUCAGUAGCUAUCGAUUCUCCACAAUGAACAACAAAGGACGCACGCCCGGUAGUGCCGGAAGAACAGUCAGAUCGUCCGCACAACAAAAUGUACAGGAAGUUCAAUUAUUAUAUUGUUGGACAUAAAGUUUCCAAUUGCAGGGUCUGACAAUGCGAAAAAGAGACAUGACACCCACUCGCAACACAAACUUGCUACCCAACGCAACUUUCGUAGGUGAUCGAUUUCUUGGAGUCCGACUGGAUCAGGAUGAACUCGAUCAUGCUAAUCAUCUCAUGACGAGUAAGCUCUACAGCAACGUAUGUGGAAACAAUUUAUGAAUAAAAUUCUAUAUUGAUGAAAUUUACAGAAAGAGAAUUUGAAUAAUUCCAUGUCCGAGCCCAACAGUCCGGAGAAGAAAAGUGUGGAAGGAGAAGCUCUGAAACAAAUGAUGCGCCACAAAUCCACUGGAGCUCUUACCGAUGCUGAUGAUGGAGAUCGCAUUCUUUGCUAUAAGAAAAAUCUCGCUCCACCACCAGCAAUUGGAUAUAUUAAUCAGGCAAAAGUAGCGAUUAUUACUUUAAUUUAAUUUAAAAAUCGUUGGAAAUUAGUAAAACUCUAAUUUUAGGUAUUGUAUAGUACAAAUAGUGUGAUCAAUCCAGCAUCGUCAGUGAAAAAGUCGACGAGACAUGUCAAAGAGACUGCGACGAAAGUCCUGGAUGGACCUGGACUCACUAGUGAGUUAAUAUAUGUGUUCUUUUUUCUCAAGUUUUCCAUUAAUUUCAGAAGACUUAUAUUCACGUCAUCUUGAUUGGGGAUGUCACAAUUGGGUUGCAGUCGCUUUAGGACACGAAUUAUACCUCUGGAACACUGAGACAUGUGUCAUCAAGGCAAGAUUUUGAUGGCCACUUUCAAAAUAUUGUUUUGUUUUUUUCCAGAAUCUCUUUGAAGACAAUGCUCCGACUAACGAAGGUCUGAUCACCUCAGUACGAUGGAGUCAGGAAGGUCGAUAUAUUUCCCUAGGAUACGCAUCAGGAGCUGUCAAGGUACAAUUGCUGUCAAUAUAUUUGAUCAAGUUUUCCUUUUUCAGAUCUAUGAUCCAAAUCGUCCGAAAACCACUGAGUAUGUGCGUGAGUUGAGAACCCUUCGAGUCGGUGGAGCUUCACGAUGUGGUCAGUUAAAAUGAAAGACGGAGUGAUGCUUCAACUUCAUUAUUUUUUCAGCUUCAAUUGCAUGGAGAAAGCAAGGAGUGAUGACAUGUGGUUAUAAAUCAGGAGACAUUGUUAAUCACGACGUCAGAAUCUCUCAACAUGUUGUUAGUUCGUGGGGAGGCGACAAUGGUCAUUGUCGUGACGUCACAGCUCUCGAAUGGUCUGCAGAUGAGAAUAUGUGCGUCAGUGGAUCAUCUGAUAGAACUGCAAAGAUUUGGGAUGGCCGUCACGUCAGAGGAAGUACAGUUAUUCAGGAUCCGGUAUCAUUUCCAACUAGUUAAUAAUAUUAAUUAUUCAUGGUCAAAAUUUCAGGAACCUAUGUUCACUAUUGACGAGCACACUGGUCAAGUUCGUACAGCUCAAUUCUGUUCAUUCCGAGACGGCAUCCUGGCCACUGGCGGUGGAAUUAACGAUGGAACUGUGAAGUUGUGGGAUGUCAAGAGACAGUUCCAAAAAGUUCGAGAGCUUAAUGUUUGUGAAACUGGCGGUGUCGGUGGUAUUGUAUUCAAUCGUCCGUACUCUGAAAUGCUAACAGCUUCUGACGAUGGUUUCCUGCGUAUUUACCGAUUCAAUGCAAACUACAAGCUAUCUCACGAAAUUCAAGGUGAGAACAUUAUCAAAAUUCGUUCCUACAAUAAAAAUAAAUAAUUCAGCAUCUAACGAACCUAUCAUGGAUCUUGUUGGAUCUCCGUUCGAUGAAGUACUUAUUGGAGACAUGGAGGAAACUUUGAAAGUAUUCCAAUUGUUCAACGUCGACAAGAGUACGAACAUUCUCGAUAGAACUGCGCCGAAAAACGUUGGCUUGAACGUUAGAUAAAAUUUUACUGUACCUUAAUUUACUGUACCUUAAAUCUUAAUUGUUUGUUAUCCCCUCAAAGAUCAUCCUACUUCUUUUUAUUUAUUCAUUACGAACGCCGUUUUGACGCUAACCUUAACUUUUCGAAUUAGUUUCAGAUUUAUUAAUCUGUAAAUGGUCUCUUCUUGUCUUCUCACCUCUGAAUACACGUCAACAUGAACAUUUGUUUGUAUUGUUGCUGAAAUUUCCGCUCAUUUUUACUUUUUUUAAUUCCAAUAAAGUCAUUUUUUCAAGAUUAAAACAUCUGUUUUGAUAUAAACCAUUGUCAAUAGGUCAAUUGCCUUAUCUUAUCAGAAAGUCGAUACUUGUUUCGUUUUUGUCUAAAAACUCCGAACCGGUGUGUCUAAUUCUCUUUUUAAUUUUGAAUUUUCGAAAAUGCGAAGAUCUAUAAGAAACUUGGCUGAAAAUGUUGAAAAAUGUCCAUAUUCUCCAACUUCUUCGCCCAACACUCCACCACGGACAUUCUCCGAAAUUCCUGGUCCUCGAGAGAUUCCAGUCAUCGGGAACAUUGGGUAUUUCAAAUAUGCAGUGAAAUCUGGUGAGUUUUCAGUAAUUUUAUUGAAUAUUUUUUAUCUUAUAUAUAUAUUUUUUUUUUUAGAUGCGAAAACGAUCGAAAACUAUAAUCAGCACUUAGAAGAGAUGUACAAAAAAUAUGGAAAAAUUGUGAAAGAAAAUCUUGGCUUCGGAAGAAAAUACGUUGUUCAUAUAUUUGAUCCUGGUAGUUGAGUUAUUCGAUUUUCUAAUUCAAAUAUACAAUUUUCAGCUGAUGUUCAAACUGUGUUGGCCGCGGACGGAAAAACUCCAUUUAUUGUUCCACUUCAAGAAACAACACAAAAAUAUCGAGAAAUGAAAGGAAUGAAUCCCGGUCUUGGAAAUCUGUAAGAAUAAACAUUCGAAUAUUGAUAUCAGGAUAAUUUUAUUACAGAAAUGGUCCUGAAUGGUAUCGUCUGCGAUCUUCAGUUCAACACGCAAUGAUGAGACCACAAUCGGUUCAAACGUUUGCACAGUUUUAUGAUCUCAAAACCAAAUUCUCAUUUCAGAUAUCUUCCAUUUUCUCAAAUUGUGUCAAAUGAUUUGGUUUGUCACGUGGCAGAUCAACAGAAAAGAUUUGGACUUGUAGAUAUGCAAAAAGUCGCCGGAAGAUGGUCACUCGAAUCUGCUGGUCAAAUACUUUUUGAAAAAUCUCUUGGAUCUCUAGGAAAUCGAUCGGAAUGGGCCGACGGACUUAUUGAGCUGAAUAAAAAGAUUUUUCAAUUAUCUGCCAAGUUAGGUUAAAGCAAACUUAUGCAUAAUUGAAUUAGAUUUUUAGAAUGAGACUCGGUCUUCCGAUAUUCCGUCUGUUCUCAACACCUUCUUGGCGGAAAAUGGUAGAUCUGGAGGAUCAGUUUUAUUCAGAAGUCGAUCGCCUGAUGGAUGAUGCUCUGGACAAACUGAAAGUCAACGAUUCUGAUAGGUUUGCACUUUAAGACUGGGAAAAGUUUUUACAUAUUCAAUAUACUCUAGCAAAGAUAUGAGGUUUGCAAGCUAUUUGAUCAACAGGAAAGAAUUGAAUAGACGAGAUGUGAAAGUAAUAUUGCUGUCAAUGUUUUCAGAUGGUCUGAGCACGGUAAGCUGACUGUAACUUAUUAAAAUAAUAAAAAAAACAUUUUUUAGACUGCACCGAUGCUAAUAUACAACCUAUAUAAUCUCGCAACACAUCCUGAAGCACUAAAAGAAAUUCAAAAAGAAAUAAAAGAAGAUCCAGCAUCUUCCAAGCUUACAUUCCUCCGUGCUUGUAUCAAGGAAACGUUCCGAAUGUUUCCAAUUGGGACUGAAGUUUCAAGAGUCACCCAGAAAAAUUUAAUACUGUCCGGAUAUGAAGUACCUGCUGGGACAGCUGUUGACAUCAAUACAAAUGUUCUAAUGAGGUAUGCAAUUUUAAAAAUCUGAUCACAAUUAAUGCUACAUUUUAGACACGAAGUUCUGUUCUCUGAUUCUCCCCGCGAAUUCAAGCCUCAACGAUGGCUUGAAAAAUCGAAAGAAGUUCAUCCGUUUGCUUAUCUUCCGUUCGGAUUCGGGCCACGGAUGUGCGCUGGUCGACGAUUCGCCGAGCAGGAUCUACUAACAUCACUUGCCAAGCUGUGUGGAAAUUAUGAUAUUCGUCACAGAGGAGAUCCAAUAACUCAGAUCUAUGAAACUCUUCUUCUACCACGUGGCGAUUGUACCUUUGAAUUUAAAAAAUUGUAAUUUUUCCAUUUUAGAUCAAAAUAUUAAAAUUUUUCUUGUAUUUUUACUAUUCUUCUGUAUGAUAAAUUAAGCUCGAUAUUAUUCUUGUUUCUUGCUUCCCCAGUUGGGCAAAUGAUUUACUUUUGUUCAAAGAUUUAUUUCUAAAAAAAAGUGAAAUUGUAAUUAGGUUCAUGCGCUCCAUCGACACUCGACAGAGAGACGGUGGAGACGCAGAAAUUACCAGACGGAGAAGUAAAUUUUCGAAUUGAAUUAGUUUUUCUCUUUUAAAGUGGGUUUCCUUCAUUUUUAUAUUUUUAUUAACGAAGUAUAUUAAUUGAAAUUUCAUAAAUAAUAUAUUUUCAGCCAUGCUCAUCACCCAUCUCAUCGAUUCUCUCAGCGACAGAGCUGUUAUCACUCCCUUAACUCCAACGAGUGUCAUUAUUUACGAUAAAAAUGAAUUAAAAGUUUAUGUCGGAUUCACAAACAAUCGUAAUAGCUUAGAAUACACAAAGGAAGUGGUUAGUAGUCGUGAAUUAUAAUUUUUUGGUAUAAAACGUGCUUUCAGGUUCUUCUCCUGUCGACAGAGAUUCCAAAGAAAGCGGAAAUUCGUGAAAUUAUUGUUUCUAAAAAUGGUUUGUAAUUAAAAAAUCUAUGAAAAUAAUAAAAUUUUUAAGGCGACUAUGUGAUUCUGGAAGGUCCGAGAAGUUUAUUCGUUGUGAGAAUUGGCGCUGAGAUUUUAGUGGCAAAACCUGAUCGUUUGCCAUCUGAAUGCUUUUGCGAGUGAGAAUAUAAAACAUUUGAUAUAGUAAUAAUAUAAAUUCAAUUUCCAGAUGCUACCCUCUCCACGACAGUCUUCUUCUUCAGAAUAUUUCGCUCUCGGUCGUUAAAGUUCGCCUUUUACCUGAGAAAUGUGACGAAAAGACUUUCGUGACCGCAGUUCUCUUCUCGGAUAACUGUAUUAGGUUUUUCUCGAGAUUCUCGCUGAUAAUAUUUUUUCUAAAAUUUUAAUUUUCAGAUUCUACAAUCUCCAGAAAAAGUUCGAUUCUCUGCUUUUAGCGGUUGAUUUUCGAAAUCAUCUUCACCAAGUACACGAUGAAAAUGUGGCAAAUAACACAUUUGGACUUCAGAAGGCAUUAGGUUUGUGUAAUUGAGAAAAGUGCUCAAUAAUCUAUCAAAUUUACAGUUUCCUUCGAUUUGAUUCCUCCAAAACCGAAUACUUCGCAUUUUUCAAUAAUUUCCAUUGAUUCCGACUGUGAUUUCUACACUUCAUUCGUCCAUUUUUCAUGUUUUAAAGAAGGUUAUGCUCCUCGUAUUCAUCGUAUUGAACCUGUCGACGGACUCCCAUGUGAUCCACUGGAUCUUCGAUACAUUCAAACUACAAAUCCUCGAAUCUGUUCGGUUUUCGUAUUGGUGUCUGGUGGUGGAGUUCUUAGUCAUCUAGUCGUUUUUCCAAAUGAGUUCGGAGAAUUUCGGUUAGUUUUAUUUUUCGAAAAGUUUUUUUUUGAAACAAUUUUUUUCAGAUUUCUUGUGAAGGAUCAACUUCGUCUCCCAUCAUCAAAUGGCGAUCCAAGAAUAGUACAAAAUCAAAUCAGAUCAUUGAAAGUCAGCAGAUAUGAAAUUGCAACAUCUUCUAGUCUUUUCUCAGUCAACAUCUUCCCCUGGUUUGAAGCUUUGACUUCUAUGUACGUUUUUUUACAAACGGCUGUGCGCCUUUAAAAAGUACCGUAGUUUUAAACGUUCGUUGCUUCACCGAUUUCGCAUAGUUUCUGAUUAAAGGUUUAUUUAUUUGCUUAAAAAACUAAAAUAAAUCAAUCAAAAACACAUAAACUUCGACAACUUGAAGAAAAUUCUACGUCAACGAAAGUUUGAAACUGCUGUAAUCAUUAAAGGGACACAGCCAUUUGUAGUCGUGUCAAGACCGGGUACCGUAUAUUUAGAUCAGAUUAAACAAUUUUUUUAAAGCUCGCCAACAUCUACUCUUGAAAAGGAGACUCGAGUUUCCGAGCUUGUCGAUGCAGUUAUUCCAUCUGAUGAACUUUCGAACACUACUAAAUGGACUGGAGCUCGUGCGCUUCGUGCUGUUUCAGUGCAACUGACACAGAGCCUGGCAACAGAGGAAGAAGAAUUGCUCCCCGAAUCUGAGAAUAUCAUGCAUUUGGUGAUUCUUGAAAACAAAGAUGGUCAACCUGCUCAUUUAUUCAACAUCUCCACAUUUGAUAAUAUAUGGUCAACUGAAAAUAAGACAUCUUUUGGAAGAGAUUCGGUGUCCCAGCCACCUAUGAAAAGUACGGGCUCUUUGGAGCAGCAACUUGCUGCUUUGAAACCACUUGCAGCUUGCGUGUAAGUUCAAAUUAUUCAAGUUUUUAUUCUUAAUUGUACUAAUUUAGAAUCUCCGAAAAAGUAUCAUGCGAAGAGGCAAUUGAUGCCGCUAUGAAGUUUUUCGAUGCAGUUGAUGAAAGAUUGAAGAAGCAUUGUGAAAUCUCAAAGUUAUUCGUGGAGAGAUGUCUCGCAGUCUCUUCAAGUGCUCAAGCUCUUGAUGAAAAGCAACAAAGUGUGGAUCAACGACUGAUUGAGGUAAAUAAAACUUUUUUUUGCAUAUUGUUGAUUUAUAAAUACAUUCUUUUCAGGAAACAAACACUGUCGAAGAAUUGAAAAUUCGAAUGCACGAAACAAAAGAAAGAAUGGAAGGUGCGCGAAAAGGAAUCAAUGUGCUAUUCCACCGGGUUGACGAAAAUGUCCCAUUAAGUGACAAUGAAAUUCGAAUUUUCGAGCGUCUCAAGGAACACCAGAAAAUGCUCUCGGAUAUGACAAAACUAGUUCCGAAGGUGACCAGUAUCUUCAAAUUAUACACAACAAUAAAACUAUUUUUACAGAUGACAUUAGAUUCGAAUGAGAUCCACCGAAUGGCCAAUAUAGUGCUGAAAAAACGUGGAACAGGCGAAGAGCAGAACAGAUUUGCAGCUGUUGAGAAAAAGUGAGAUUUAAAUUCAAAUGGCAAUGUUUCAAAAAUAUCUAAACAUUUGCAGUGCUACCGAAAUCGAAAGCUUGGAAGCUCGCGAGAACAAACUGAAUACCGGAAUUUCUGAGCUUUCUAUCUGAAAGUUAAUCUUAUUGUAAUGUUUUGAUAUUAUUGUUGUUGAAUGAAUCACUGUUUCCAUUCCUUUCUUUAUUAAAAAAAAACAGCAAAUAGAAAGGCAAAAUUGCAUACAGAAAAUGCGAAAACUUCUAACCGUUUCUUCUUUGUAAGAAGCUAAGAUGUGGUACCAAUACAGAAAAAUCAUUGGGUGAAUGUUGAGCAGGAGGAGGCAGUAAAAUGUAUAAUUUGAUGUGUAUAUGUAAAGUACAUUUAAAAUAUGAUUAUUAUGAGCUACCAAAUUCGAGACGACGUUUGGCAGUGGAGCAGCUCGAUGAAACUUCAUCAGGAGAAUCUUGCGGAGAUCUUUUUCGUGGGGUCAAAAACUUUUCAGACUCCCCAGCAAGUUGAAGUGCACGCUUCACGCGAUCCGCUAACAGUGGCUCUUUCCUCAAACUACGAUCUCCCAUCACGAAGAUUUCCCAUUUUGUGGCCAUGCGAGGGCAAUUGUUGAUAACCUGAAAAAUUUCUAAAUGAAACAGACAAGAAAUUUGAUAAGCAUACAUAAUCUUCAGAUGGAUAGAAUCCGACAACUUGUUUCCCUUCAUGCUCACUCGGUUUUCCAUCGUAGAAAAUCUGACGUUCGAUUGGAUGAGUUUUAUCGUCCAAACCUCUACCAAGGACGGAAUGCUGAAAAUUAUAUAAUUUUGCUCAGCACCAGGACGGAAAUAAUCUUACCAUUACAGUGAACUGAAUAUCCUUCAGUUUUCCAUCCAUUUCUUCAGUAUCAUCCAUUUGCUCCAAAAUUUCUUUCAUCUUUUGUCCAACUUUUUUGACAACUUCUGCAGCUCCAGUCUGAUUGUUGCAAUUCCCCUUCAACUGCGUCGCAUUUUCUGGAUUCAUUUCAAAAUAACCAAGCUUGCAACCGAUUUCUCGUCGCUGGAUUUUCAAUAGAGCUGUCUGAGCUUCAAUCAUUUUUGGAUCCGUGAUCUGGGAGUUGAGAAUCUGAAAUUAAAAAAAAAAACUAGUUUUGAUGUUGUUUAGUUAUCUUCUCGCAAUACCUCCUGCUCUACAUAAUCCGUAGUUUUCAAGAAAGCAUCAACGUCUUCUGUGACAUUCUUCAGUGAGUAUAGUUCUCCAUUUGAUCCCUUAUACUUCAGGAAGUCACCUGCAUUGAUCAGAGCAUCCACCAUUCUAAAAUAUGAAUAUUUCUUGUUGUAAAAUAAAAUCAGGCUUUACAGUGUUUCCAUGAAUCUAACGGCUUUAUGUUGAUAAACUUUCGAAUGAAGUUCUUGUCGUGAAUCGCCGAUUGCUUUCAAGUCUCCGAUGCAUUUGAUAGAGUAGGCGAUUCUCUUCAAUCCACUAUUCGGAUCAAUUACUACACGGACAUGAUUGAAUAAACGUUCGAGUGUUGAUUCACUGAAUGUAAUACCAACUCCCGAUGCUUUUGAAUCUCUGAGCAAAUAAUCCAUUUUGUCGACAUCAUGUCCGUUAUAAGAAUUGGAGACAACGUCGAAUAGAAAUGAUUUUUCUGGUCCACAGCCAAUGAUAGCCCAUUCAUUUUUGACUGUUUCCUCACGCACGUCAGCAGGCAAAUCUUUAAAUCCGUCCAUAUCUUGGAAAUCCUGAAAGAAAAACAAUUGUCAUCAAAUAUCCUAUUUUGUCAAUUACAAACCACUUACAAAUGGUUUUCCGCUGAUAAGUUCUGUGAUAAGCGUAACACUUUUUGCAUACUCUUCGUCAGUUUCACCAAGAAUGCAAGCAAAUUCAGAUUUUAUUUCUGGUUUAUUCAUGAUUUUCUUGAUGAUUAAAAUAGACAUAUCCUCAUGCUUGAAUCUGCUUCCAUUGCGUUUUGCGAAUUCUCCAUCAAACAGAUGAGAGAAUGGUCCAUGUCCAACAUCAUGAAGUAGAGCAGCAACUGAUGUGCAGAUAAGAUCAGAUUCUGUGAUAUUUAGUGAUGGUUGACUAUGUCUGAGCUUAUCGACAAGCGCGUAGGCGAGUGAGAAGGUUCUGGAAACAAAAUAAAUUAAUUUAAUUAGCGUUUCUACGUAAUGGUCCUACCCCAGCGAAUGCACAAAUCUCGAGUGCUCACAAUUUGGAUACACAAGAUAGACGAGUCCAGUCUGUUUCAGAUGACGCAGCCGUUGAAAUUCCACAGUAUCAAUUAAUUUGUCGAUUGGUCUCGGCACUUUGACGGUUCCAUAAACAUUAUCAUUGAUGAUAUGCUUCGGUUCUAGGCUUUGCCAGUUCAUAUUGCAGCUGAAAAAUUAUAGAUAAAGAAAGUUUGAAGCAAAAUGAUUUUUUGUAAUGGAAAUUGAAGAACUGAAACAUUAAACAUUUCGAGAAUUUUUUUCGAAGCAUUGAAUAACCAGAAUAAACUUAGAUUCGACGUUGAGAUAGCAGACUUUAGGCGGGAAAUUUGGAUUUUGAAAUUAAAUUGUCUUUUCAUGCAGUCACAUGAUUCUCAAAAAUGAAAAAAACUCCAAAAAAUAUAGGAAGAAUGAAAGUAACCAGAAACACAAAAAAAACUAAACUUUGAAGAUUUAUGAAACAAAAGGAGAAAAAAGUGCAAAGUGAACUUUUUUCUAUUUAGGCAAGAGGAAGAAAGAGAAAGAUGGUUUUCAUUUGAAUUUAGCCCUCAACGACGGCAGAUGGUUAUCUCUCGAAGUACUCGUAUUUUAAAAUAACAUUGUGACACCUUUGUAAUCGCUUAAUUUCAGAUUUUUAUCGCUUGAAAGUAAAACUUCUACAAUUUCAAAGUUGAAAGAACUACGCACUUUCUCGCAAUGACGUCAUUUUAAAGAGCAGAGACUGAGGAGGAAAUUAUUUUCAGAGAAUUAAAUAAAACAAAAACGAGGAAAGUUCUUCUCUUUCUCUGAAAAAAGAAACGGAAACAUUAAUUAGAAAAAAAAUAAUUCGAAUAAUGCCGUUUUUCCUCGAGGAGUACACAACGCUUGGGUUUCUAGGCCAUACUUUCUAGGCCACCAUUUAAAUUUUCAGGUCUGAAUUCAGAUUCUGAUAGAAGCUCAACUCACUGCCUCCAUGAUUCUCUAAACAUGUGAAAACCUCGACGAAGACUGAUAAACGACAUUAUUAAAAUCGAAAAAUAAAUCCAAUUAUUUAUUAAAAGAAUGGUCUUCGAAUCGCGUCGGUCUGUGUCAAUACGUUUCUGCACUUUUCCAUCUUUUUUUUGCAUAGAGAAAGUAGAGAAAAAGGCUUUGAAUAAACGCAGGCACAGAGGAAAAGCUUCCAACUACGAGAUAGAAUUCAGAAUAGAGAGUAGAAGAGAUAUGAGCAGCUGUGUGGAGUGCACGGAAGUAGAUUGUGUCGAGUGGUUUUAACACUUGGUAUUUGUUUCAAUUCGAAUAAUUUCGUAUAUAAUUUAACUUCUGCCCCUUUUCUCUGACUAAUGAAAAAGAUAAUAUUGAAUUAAUAUUAGUUAAAAUUCCUGUGAAAAUUAUUGAACAUUGUUUUUAUUCGAAAAUAUACCAUAGAGCAAAGCUACGAAAAGAUUCGAACUAUGAGCACAUUGGAUAUCAGUUUAAAACUUAAAAAAUUAUUUUCAUUCAAAUAUAAUCUCUCAAUGCCCCUUCUUUUACCUAUUUAAGUUGCUAUUAGAGUGAGAAAGAAGUACACGUGGAAGGACAGGUCCUGGAAGUUGGAGUUAAUUCAGAUGAUAAGCACAAUUUAUUAACUCAAGGCCUGUCAAAAAUGAUCGGUCAAGGUUCUGGAGUCACUGGUUUUCUUUUUUUUUCCUGAUAAGAGCUUUUUGAUGAUCGUGCAAACUGAUAAUGCGCUAAAUUCUCUCUUUGUUUUUUUAUUGAUCUUUUUUUUUUGAAAAAAGUAGGUGAGUCACAGUGAAAGUUAUAACAAGUCAAUUUUUCCCAUUGAAAAGAUUAAUUACUUUGUUUAUCACAUUCACUUUUAAGAUUGCGUAAUCUUAGUUGGGAUCCGGAAAUUGCAACGGACCUGAAUGUUAAGAGUGAGCAAGAUGUCUGCAGUGGCAUGAUGAUUUUUAGUUUCGAGUCGAUUAUAGAGGGGGAGUGAUAACAGUCACAAUAUUUUUGAGGUUUUAAACGUGGGAAAGAGGAGAAUUGGAAAUGAAUAGACAUAUUGACAUGCUAAUACAAAAAUAUGACAUCAUGUGAGAUUGAUAGCAAAAGUUAAAAGUCAAGAGUUACGGUAUAAUCCAGUGCGAAAAGUUUCAAAUUUCUCGCCAAAAAUACGGUACCCGGUCUCGACACGACAAUUUUUGUUUAAUGCACGAAUGUGCCCUUUAUGUGCACUGUAAUUUCAAACUAUUGAUGCAACGAUUUUUUCCCGGAUUUUCAAUAGUUUUUGGAAAAAAGUCUUGGCAAAAUUUGGCUCACGGUCUGCCAACUUCUGAACAAAAUUAAUAUUUUAUAUAUAUAUUAUAAAUAUCAGCAAAACCUGCAGUAAUGUAGUACUACUGUAGGAAUUACGGAAGGGGUACGCUUGGGGCCAUUGUAUACAAUAUCCCACCGUACCUAAUCUGGGUGUCUCUGGAAUUGGUCGAAAAAGCUUAUUAGAACUGGUUUUUUACUAAUUAGAAGUGGUUCCAUCUUAUCUGAGUAGGUUCUACGCGACGACUACAUUUUGUACAAUAUCAAUAAAAGGUGAUCCAACUUUUUUCUAUAACUUCCUCAUAACUGCAGCUCUACAAACUUACGGGGAAGAUGAUGGGGUUGCAAUAUUCAAAGAACUCAGUCGACGCCGAACUUCUUUUGUGUGAAUCUUUGGAAACCAUGGUUGGCCACUGUCCAUGACGGAUGCACUCCGAUAUCGGGGACCUUUCAAACUUGUGGUGGUAUUCUGAAAUUCACAAUUUCAAUACCUAAAGCCCAUUUCAGACUUAAAAAUAGUUUUGCAAUAGAAAUGAAUGAAAUCAUUACUGUUGUCCAACAUUAUGCACCUAUAUAUAUAUCACUUGGCUCUCAACAAGGAACGCAAAAAAAUGACACGUGAUUUUUAUAGAAUGAUUGUUUUGAAACUUUGUAUUAAAAAGGACACUAUGAUGAAUUAAUAAUAAAACAAACAUUCAGAGUACGAGUAGUUGAUAUCAGAGCACUAAUAUGAGGAAUACGGUAGAUCCUACUUUCCUACUUUGUCAGAGUUUCGAACGAACGCUAAGAACUCUGGAAACAUUUUUUUGCGAUCAACACAUAUAUAUGUAUCAGCAAAACCUGAAGUAAUGAGAGUACUACUGUAGGGAUUACGGUAGGAGCGUCUGAAGAUCUCAUAGUUCAGUUAAUUCUGGAGUAGUUCAGGUUGUGCCUUUAUACCAGAGCUUUGCGAUUUGAUAGAAUAUUUGAAGUUAAAUUAAUGUGACUAGAUCUUAACGGGUUUUAUUAUAGUUUGAGUGAAAUACACACUGAUCAGCCCUAUAUUUGGUUUAUACAACUCCGGUAGAUACCUACCUAUUCAGCAAAUGUUACACAUUUAAAAAUUUGUUAACUGAGAAAAUUACCAAAACUUAUCAGCUAAAGAGUUGGACUCGGGCUUGACCUAGCGAUACCUCUCCUUUCAGGAGCAGUGGUGGACACUUUAGUGAUUGAUUUGAAGACUUAAAAUAUGUUUUACUAACACACAUUAUCUUUAACUUAUUUUUAACCAAGAUUAAAGUUCGUGCCAUAGAAAAAAGUGCCGAACAUUCUGUGAUAACUGAGGUGUCUUUGUACUCUAACUCCACCCUCACUAUCAUUAAGAUUGCUCACGUGAUGAGGGACCAACUAUCUCAAAAGAGCACGAAACUCUGGUCCCAUGCCAUCAUCCAGAAAGUUGUGAUGAGGAAUAAAAAAAAAAGAAAAACAACAACAUCUCAUUUUCAGACACACACUUGUCCACACUAAAGACGAUUCGAACAUUGAUAGGUGUAACAAUGUCACCAAAAAAACUUGCCGUUUCGAUCUUAAAGUGAUACAUUUCAGUAGUUGAGAAGAGGGUCUGGUGACGAGUGUUCAAUUGUCUGCAAAACUGAAACAAAAUAAGUUAAUAAAGUGAAUAACAAAAUAUUGAGAAAAAGACGAGAACGAGGGGAACUCUGCUGGUCACUUUGGUUUUAUCUUGUCAUUUAUCAGUACGUAAAACGUCACGGGGCACAUGCCAUGUUGCGGGAAAAAGAUGAAAAGAAAGCAUUCAUAAAUAACGCAUAAGUAUACUGAAACUGUUGUCCCCUGGAAGGAGAUUGAAAUAAUAGGAAUAUAACUCAGAAAGUAUGUUCAAGAAGCUGUUUUAGAAAAAAUAGAAAAACUUUCUAUCAUAUUGAUUUUCCUAGCGAAAACUCAGUUUUAGCAAUUGGCCGAAACUUUUGAAAAUCGAACAUUUGUUGAACUGUACAUAUUGUUAUAAAAUUUUGUCAUGUUCCCAUUGAUUUACCACUGAAGAUAAUGCCUUAAUUGAACUUCCAAGAAAAUUAUUCAAAUACGAAAUCUAAACUGUUCAAAACUCAAAACAGCGAAGAUCAGGCAGACACAUCCACCUGACGCGGCUUUUUUCAUGCUUUCAACAAUUUUCAACAACAAAAUUAGAACUAUGUUAAAACCGUAUAAUGAGCAUUUGACAUAUUCUGAUAAACUAUAAGAGUAUAGAUAGGAAAGGUACGGAAACCGCACUUUUAUCAUAAAGUACACGUCAUUUUCAAUCUUUUUUUGCUUUAUCAAUUAAAAAAAACUUGUUUCAAAAACUAUAAUUUCCCUCCUUACAGUUCGGAUCAAUGUUCUAUGCAUAUUUAUUUUCUCCUCUUCCCACACCACGUACAACCAUCAUUUUCCCUUUGGUAUCCCUGCCGAAUAAAAUGUGAUAAUUCUGCCUCCUAAUAAAAAAUACGGGGGAGCGAAAUGUGCCCAGUUUUUCUUUUUUGACAAUUUUCUUUUUUUCCAUUUCGAGAAUAAAUGGAAGAAUCACCCACAAAAACAUUCAAAUGUCCAAAGUGUUGGAACAAGUUUGAGAAUAAACCAAAACUGAUUACUCAUGUCGAUUUGGAAUGCAAACAUAAAUAUUUUAGAUGCGAGGUAGGUGUCUUUUUUGUUUAUUAAAACGGUUUCUUAAAGUAAAUUUUAAAAAUUUGUUUGAUGUUCCGACAGUUCUUUUCUAAAAUGUUGUUUUUAUUACAUUUUUGACAUGUUUAGGUGAGUAGCUUUACGUUUUUUUUUUCAAAUAAUCCUUCCUGGAAUUGAAGUCAAGUUCCAUCUGCUCAAAGCGUUGCUUUUCCGCUGUUGCAGGGGAUGGAGACGACUUGCCGUCAUGGAGAUAUGAAAACACACCUCACUAUCAGUCUGAAAAAAGUAGGCUUUAGAUAAUUUUUCAAUUUCAGUUAUGUGACUUCAAAUCAACUCAAAAAACUGGACUCACCAGUCAUUAUCACGGCCACAUUCGUCAGUCAAAUGUCAUCCACUGUCCAUAUUGCAAAAAGAAGAAAACGUUCAAAAGCAGGAACAAUUUGAUGGUAAAAAAUUAUUUCUGAUGAAUUUUAAAGUAUAUUCCAGGUACAUGUUCACCAUUAUCAUCCCACGCAUAUAAACGAAAUGAAGCAGGCAAACUUGGAAAGUGCUAAAGUGAGUCUGUCAAAAAUUCUGAAGGAGCUUAUGAACUUAUAUGUCCGCAGGAAGAAAAAAUGAAGACAAUGUUGGAAAAGCAAGCAAAAGAAGCACACGAAUUCGAAAUUUCACAACCAGCGGUAAGUUGUUCAUUUCAUUUAUUUCAAUUUACUGUAAGUAGCCUGAAGUUGACUUUUCCAAAAAUUAUAACUACUCAAUUUAUUAUUAUAAUGAAAAUUUAUUUCAAAUCUCCAACUAUGAAAAGUGAUCUAAGGCAUUCAAUACUUCAUCAAAAUAUUUCUCCCAUUGCCAUUUGUAAGAAAAUAUUUAAGUUUUAUAAGGCUUUGAGAGUUUUUUAAACCUUCAAUAUUUUUUUCAACUCAAGAGUAACAACUUUCAGGUAUUUGAAAAGGAUUUCGCGAGUUAUGAUCUACCGAUGUUUUCUCAAUGCCCUCCAAUGAACGGGAUUCCAGUAUCAACUCCAAUUGAAUAUCCUUAUUCUCAAAAUCCUUAUCAAGAUCACACACCAUUUGAUAGCUAUCCCUACCCAAAUUUCCACCCACAACAGCUCCCACUGCCAACUUUCGAGAACAAUCUUCCAGACAUUGCAACCUACUUCGAUUUAUAAGUGCUUUUGCCACUAACCAUGUAUGUAAAACUAUAUUUUAUUCAUCUAAUCAGCAAAUUCGAAAAAAUCAAUAAAUAUUUAAAACAUGGCGACAUCAAUCUAAAACCCGAACAGAAUUGUUUUGUUUGAAAAACUGUUAUUUGCCAGAUUGAAUAACGUAUUCCAUCCAAAUGUCCUCUCCGAGAAUUACUUUGACACAUUGGAACAGCUCGAGUCUCUCCUUCUCUUCAUCAACUGACUCGGCAUCUGGAUUUUCCUCACGUAAUUUCUGGAAUGAUUUAUUGUUUCAUUUAUAUUGUUUCCUUUUUGAUAAUUCAACAAACUCACUCUAGCUACAGACAGCUGCUUUCUGAAUCUAUCAACAGCUUUCUCGAACGGCUCCAAUUUGAUAUCACCUCGAAGCGUGGUCUGUACUCCCUCGUCGACUUUUUCUGGUUUUUGAUAGGCACUUUUCUAAAACUUGAAAUGUUACCGUAUCAGGAAGAAAGCUACCUUACGUAUUGGUUAAAAAUUUUGUCAAAAUAGUAGGUGUGAUGCGGAGCACAGAAGUCAUAUGCUACGGUUUCGCGGAAGUGAUCGUGGACCGGGAUUUCUUUCAAGUUCAUGAUCUGAAAAAAAUAGAAUACUUAAAGUACUAAAAAAAAUUAUAGAAGGAUUUGAGAACUAACUCGGCAAUUCGCCGCAGCUUAAUCACCAUCUUUAGCAACUUUAGAAAUUCCAAGCGAAAAAGUUGCCAAAAUUUGGUUUAAAAAAAGGAGAUUUUUCUAAGCUUGACUAAACUUGAUUAAAAUGUUGAGGUCGGGAAAGAAGUUGCUAAAAGAAGCUUUAAAGUUGCGAGAAAAUAAAGUUGACGCUUAAGUUGAUGAAGUUGAUGGAUAAGUUGCAACGAAUUGUCGAGUAACACGACAAAAAAGUUUGGGUACAGGAACAAAAAUUAAGGCCUACAAAAACACAUUCUGUUAAAAGCCUAAAAAUAAAACAGAAAUAGAAUAUUAUAGGAAUGGUUCUCAAACAUAUCAGUAUCUAAUGAAAAAAACUUCCAAAAUUGAUCAAUACCAUCGUUAUGCAAUACGAAAUGAGCGAUGAGAGGAACUGCUGCUCAUAAAGAUUUCGAAACACUUCGAUAAAGAAAACGAUUGCGUCAUAAUUAUCGACGCUUCCUCAGGGCAAAGCAGUAUUUGAAUUUGAUUAAAAAGUUGUACAGAAAAUAUAAUUUAGGCCGAAAAGGGAAAUAUGACGAAAUCAAAGAAAAAGUGGCCUUUUCCACCGUGUUACACAUUAAACAGCCAGAUGAAUUCUAUGAGAGACGGAAAAGGAACGAAACACAACUUCACUGUUUUGGUGAACGAUGUGCACAAAACAACAGUUCAAGCAAUCAACAAUAACAGUAGAGAAGAAUACAUGAGCUUUAAUUGUAGAAAAUGCAAAUUUAUUUAAAAUCAUUCAUAGUCAUUCAUUCUUUAAACACACACAAAUUUCAGAGCCAUUUUGCUUUUUUAGUUUAUACUCUUCAUCAUCAAUUAUUAAGAUAAAUGUUUUACACAACCACAAGCUACCUUCACUGUAGCAGCUGAAUUGUCAAACUGUGCGCAGUAAUGUGGUGCUGAAUGUGGUGAGUGUGGUGUGAGAAUAUGGUAACCAUCUUUUUCGACGCGAAGAAUUCAAAUAUAUCCUGAAGAACUUAAUGAGCACGAGCAACCAAACCCGAGUCUAGUAUGGAGAAUAGAUCCACCACAACGUCUUGUCCAAAACCAUUUGAUGUUCGUUUUGUCUUGAUUUCAGGGAAAACGAUUCAAAAUUAAUUUAACAAUUUGAAAAACAUUUUUCAAACAAUUUAAAUUUAUUUUCAAUUCAUUAAAGCCCUUUUUAUAGGGGUUUUAGACAAAAUAUUUUUUAUUGAACAAUUGUUUCUCCGAAAAACAAUUUUGCCUUUCAAGUUAUAAAACAAUGUGAUAUCAAUUUAAUUCUGAAUUUUUAUUUGAAAAAGAUUUCACAAUUUUCAAUACGUGAACUUUGCCCCACAAAGAUUAAAUUUUACAAAUGAAAGAGAAAACCGAGUCAUUACAAAGUCUCUUUUUUAAAGAUGAUUUUUGCUGUGGUGGAUAUUCUAGAAAUAUCGAUUCAAUUGUUAUGUAUUCUGUUGUUUGGAACGACCGUGAUUAACUGUGUGAGUAAGGGAAGACACAAGGAUGUGAAUGCGAUUGUUCGCGAAACCGAAAGCAAGAAAAUUGUGCCUUGGAGUGAUGCAAAAGUGCAAAUCAAGAAGUUCUUAGGGGAUGGAGCCAGUGGAACAGCCUAUUUGGUGGUGUGGGAAGACAAGGAGGUUGUUAUGAAGGUGACAGGUAUUCACCCACAGUCGAUUUCGGUACUCCACGACGAACUUUUGAUCACGCAGAAGAUUGGCAAAUUGUCAAAAAGUUGCCAUAAUUUUCUGCCAUAUCACGGAUCAAUCGUCAUAAGCGACCUUCCAGCUAAAAUGAUGCGGAAUUCCGAAUGUGUCAACCAUCUUGCGAUUUUUAUGGGUUAUGGUGGAACAGUUUUGGCCGAUUGGAGAACCAGCGACUACAGACGGUGUAUCACAAUUAUGGCUCAAUUGGUUCUGGCUAUGAGGAUUGCCAACGACAAGAUGAAAUUUGUUCAUGGUGACAUCUAUAUGAUGAAUAUUUUAAUUGCUCCAACAACCAAACGAUGGAUCGAAUACAACAUUGAUGGCAAAACAAUUACGAUUCAAACAUUUGGCAUUAUCCCGCAAUUGAUUGACUUUUCGAAAAGUUGGUGUGGAG
rnacentral:sRNA from 1 species